rnacentral:misc_RNA from 1 species
GAUGAAGAACGCAGCGAAAUGCGAUACCUGGUGUGAAUUGCAGAAUCCCGCGAACCAUCGAGUCUUUGAACGCAAGUUGCGCCCGAGGCCACCCGGCCGAGGGCACGCCUGCCUGGGCGUCACGCCAAAACACGCCCCCACCCCCCCUCACCGGGGGAGCGGGACGCGGCGUCUGGCCCCCCGUGCCGCGAGGCGCGGUGGGCCGAAGAUCGGGCUGCCGGCGUACCGUGCCGGGCACAGCGCGUGGUGGAUCUCUACUCGGCGCAGUGCACCCGGCGCGUAGCCGGCGCAGCGGCCCCUAAGGACCCAACGAACGGAGCGCGAGCCGCUCCGACCGCGACCCCAGGUCAGGCGGGACUACCCGCUGAGUUUAAGCAUAUCAAUAAGCGGAGGA